rnacentral:rRNA from 1 species
AGUGAACGCUGGCGGUAGGCCUAACACAUGCCAGUCGAACGGCAGCACAGUAAGAGCUUGCUCUUACGGGUGGCGAGUGGCGGACGGGUGAGGAAUACAUCGGAAUCUACUUUUUCGUGGGGGAUAACGUAGGGAAACUUACGCUAAUUCCGCAUACGACCUACGGGUGAAAGCAGGGGAUCUUCGGACCUUGCGCGAUUGAAUGAGCCGAUGUCGGAUUAGCUAGUUGGCGGGGUAAAGGCCCACCAAGGCGACGAUCCGUAGCUGGUCUGAGAGGAUGAUCAGCCACACUGGAACUGAGACACGGUCCAGACUCCUACGGGAGGCAGCAGUGGGGAAUAUUGGACAAUGGGCGAAAGCCUGAUCCAGCCAUACCGCGUGGGUGAAGAAGGCCUUCGGGUUGUAAAGCCCUUUUGUUGGGAAAGAAAAGCAGCAGGUUAAUACCCCGCUGUUCUGACGGUACCCAAAGAAUAAGCACCGGCUAACUUCGUG